rnacentral:rRNA from 1 species
GACGAACGCUGGCGGCGUGCUUAACACAUGCAAGUCGAACGGAGUGGCGAACGGGUGAGUAACACGUGGGUGACCUGCCCUGCACUUCGGGAUAAGCCUGGGAAACUGGGUCUAAUACCGGAUAGUGUGGGAUGGGCCCGCGGCCUGUCAGCUUGUUGGUGGGGUAAUGGCCUACCAAGGCGGCGACGGGUAGCCGGCCUGAGAGGGUGGACGGCCACAUUGGGGAUGGGAACAGGGCCCAACUCCUUCGGGGGGCAGCAGGGGGGGAUAAUGCACCAUGGGGGGAAGCCUGAUGGAGCGACGCCGCGUGGGGGAUGACGGCCUUCGGGUUGUAAACUCCUUUCACCAUCGACGCGGUAGAUGGAGAAGAAGCACCGGCUAACUACGUGCCAGCAGCCGCGGUAAUUC